rnacentral:other from 1 species
AAAUGCAAAAUUUAUUUGCGCAUAGCGCAUGGAGGUUUCAUUCUAAUGGAACAAGGUACUGUUAAAUGGUUCAACGCUGACAAAGGUUACGGUUUUAUCACUCUUGAAAACGGCUCAGAUGUAUUCGUACAUUUCUCAGCUAUCAAUGCUGACGGUUUCAAGACCCUUGAAGAAGGUCAACAUGUAACCUUAGACGUUGAAGACGGCGACCGUGGCCCACAAGCUGCUAACGUUACUGUUGCUUAAUUUAAUUAAGCCCAACGGAACCACUGAUCAUUGUGAUCAGUGGUUUUUU